rfam:Triticum aestivum genome assembly, contig: Triticum_aestivum_CS42_TGACv1_scaffold_328786_4BS
CAACUACUCCCUUUGUCCCAAAUUUCUUGUCUUAGAUUUGUCUAGAUACGGAUGUAUCUAAUACUAAAAUGUGACUUGAUACAUCCGUAUCUAGACAAAUCUAAGACAAGAAUUUUGGGAUGGAGGGAGUACUUU